rnacentral:rRNA from 1 species
AGUGAACGCUGGCGGUAGGCCUAACACAUGCAAGUCGAACGGCAGCACAGAGGAGCUUGCUCCUUGGGUGGCGAGUGGCGGACGGGUGAGGAAUACAUCGGAAUCUACUCUGUCGUGGGGGAUAACGUAGGGAAACUUACGCUAAUACCGCAUACGACCUACGGGUGAAAGCAGGGGAUCUUCGGACCUUGCGCGAUUGAAUGAGCCGAUGUCGGAUUAGCUAGUUGGCGGGGUAAAGGCCCACCAAGGCGACGAUCCGUAGCUGGUCUGAGAUGAUGAGCAGCCCCACUGGAACGGAGACACGGUCCAGACUCCUACGGGAGGCAGCAGUGGGGAAUAUUGGACAAUGGGCGCAAGCCUGAUCCAGCCAUACCGCGUGGGUGAAGAAGGCCUUCGGGUUGUAAAGCCCUUUUGUUGGGAAAGAAAUCCAGCUGGCUAAUACCCGGUUGGGAUGACGGUACCCAAAGAAUAAGCACCGGCUAACUUCGUGCCAGCCGCCGCAGUAA